GACAGAGGGUGCAAACGUUGUUCGGAUUUACUGGGCGUAAAGCGCGUGUAGGCGGCUUUGCAAGUCGGAUGUGAAAGCCCACGGCUCAACCGUGGAAGUGCAUCCGAAACUGCAUGGCUGGAGUCCCGGAGAGGAAGGUGGAAUGCUUGGUGUAGAGGUGAAAUUCGUAGAUAUCAAGCAGAACACCUGCGGCGAAGGCGGCCUUCUGGACGGUGACUGACGCUGAGACGCGAAAGCGUGGGUAGCAAACAGG
rnacentral:rRNA from 1 species